rnacentral:sRNA from 1 species
GCGGACGCCGAGGAGGUUCGAAAACAUGGCCAAAAGAAAUGCCGAGAAGGAACUGACAGAUAGGAAUUGGGAUCAAGAAGAUGAAGCUGAAGAGGGCAAAAGAAGGGUUAUAAACUAAAGCCGAAGAUAUUCAGCAGAUUUCUGACGUGGACAUCAGAAGUGUGGACAUGAGUGCGCUUUGAGCGCACUGUGGAAGAGCAGUGGUUUUCCAGCAAGGUCCUAGGUGCCUCUGUGGCCUUUUGUACAGUGGGCAAGUUGGGCAGGACUCAUCUUAAAAAUCAUGUGUGGGAACAUUCUCCCUGGCCAGUGAGGAAGUCUUGAAGAAUAGAGCCAUAAAGAAAGCAAAGCGCAGAAAUGUUGGAUUCGAAGUGAGUGCCCCCUUACAGCUCUUGCUAUUAAACACUCAUUUGAUUUCUGGGUUGCACAGCAGC